UACGAAGGGGGCUAGCGUUGCUCGGAAUUACUGGGCGUAAAGCGCACGUAGGCGGCUUUCUAAGUCGGGGGUGAAAUCCUGGAGCUCAACUCCAGAACUGCCUUCGAUACUGGAAAGCUCGAGUCCGGGAGAGGUGAGUGGAACUGCGAGUGUAGAGGUGAAAUUCGUAGAUAUUCGCAAGAACACCUGAGGCGAAGGCGGCGUUCUGGACUGCUACUGACACUGAGGAACGAAAGCCAGGGGAGCAAACGGG
rnacentral:rRNA from 1 species